UAUCGUAACAAGGUUUCCGUAGGUGAACCUGCGG
rnacentral:rRNA from 1 species